UAAUGAACAAAACCUUUCGGUGCCGUUCCUUCCGUCCUUACAACUAAAACAGGCGAUAUAAUAUGGUGUUUAAUAAGAGAGUUCGUCUGUGUCCAAUGGUAUGUCAAAAGCUUAUAAAGGUGUGGGUUUGUUUACGUCUUAAAGAGCAGGUAUCGAUUUUGUAACAAAUGCUCAUUAACGAUCUAUCCCAGGGAUGCGAAAAAAACAAACAGGUGUCUCCCCAGUCAGGCCCGAAGCGGCGGGCGUGGCCUGGGCGGAAAGGGGUGGUGACCGCGGGGGGCGGGGGCAGGUCCCCACGAAUCGCGCGAGGGAACUGCGACUGGACGCGCGGAACACGCAGCGCCCGAGGAGUUGCCAGGGGCUGCAGAUGGCGCUUCCUUUUCACUGGUCAAGAGCCAUGAAGGGUGAAAUUUUUUUUCUGGAACCCUCACAAAUGCCAUAGGGAAACAUCUAAUUAUCAUUACUAAUUAGCUCCAGGAGUGUUUUUCUGCUGCAUUAAUUUACUUAACUGUUAAAUAAUGAAGGUAAAUAGGAGGGACACUUGUUUAAAUAAUGUAUUACUCAUUAGCAGUGUAUUUUGUACUAUAGCCAUUAUAAUAAUUUAUGCCUUCUUUUAUAACAACCACAAUACCUUCCGUUUAUAUUGAAAAUAGUUCACUCAACCAGUCUUUAUCAGCAAUAAAGUAUGUGCUGCAGCUGGUAUGUGCUGUGUCAGAGAAUAUGUAAAUCAGAAGGAGAAAUGAGGUGUGCAUAAACAAUAUAAAGUAUACUAAUAGCUGCCAUUGGUUGCGUAUGUAAUCACAGUGUACUAGGAACUUUGCAUAUUUUAUCUCACAUAAUCUUCAUAAUAACCUAGUAAAGCAGUACUGUUUUUAGUGCCAUUUUGCAUAAAAUUAAGAAGGUUAAGUAAAUUUCUCAAGGCAACAAGUGAGCAUUGGAGCUGGGCAUCAAACCUCAGUGCGUCUGAGUGCAAAGCUUGUUGCCCUCGGCCGCUGCGGUCCAUCCCCUCCAGCACAGGAAGAAGGCUCUAAGUUCCAUUAGAUACGUAACCAUAAAGGGGAAAUUUCUGGCAGAUGUAGGGGAUUAACUCCCUCGUUUUAAAGAGUAAAUGCAAAUAAUUAAAACCGCAAUGAGACACCAUUACAUACUCACCAGAAAGCCUAAAACGAAAAAACAAAAACAAAAAUCACAGUAUAGAUCAAGUAUUGGCAAGGUUGUGGGGCAACUGGAACUGUAAUAUGCUGCUGAAGGGAACAUAAAUUGGCACAAUCCCUUUGUUGAAAUGUUUGGCAGUGUCAGCUAAAGCUGAAUAAAUGCAAGCCCUUGUCCCCAGUUUCACUCCUAGGUAUGUACUCAACAGAAAAGUGUCCAUAUGUUCAGUAAAAGAACAUGUAUAAAAAAGGUCACACCCAUACUUUGUACUAAUCCUAAACUGGAAACACCCAAAUAGCCAUGCUGUUAGAAGUCAAAGUGGUCAUUAGCCUUGGUGGAGCAAUCACUGGAGGAGAACAUGGGAGGUUCAUGAAGUGCUGGUAGUGUUCUAUUACUUAGUCUGAGUGCUGGUUUACAUGUAUUUCAGGAGGCAUAUUUGUGGUCACUUUUCUGAAUGCAUAUAUACUUCAAUAAAAAAAUGUUGCCCUAA